rnacentral:rRNA from 1 species
GACGAACGCUGGCGGCGUGCUUAACACAUGCAAGUCGAACGGAAAGGCCCUGCUUUUGUGGGUUGCUCGAGUGGCGCACGGGUGAGUAACACGUGAGUAACCUGCCCUUGACUUUGGGAUAACUUCAGGAAACUGGGGCUCAUACCGGAUAGGAGCUCCUGCUGCAUGUUGGGGGUUGGAAAGUUUCGGCGGUUGGGGAUGGACUCGCGGCUUAUCAGCUUGUUGGUGGGGUAGUGGCUUACCAAGGCUUUGACGGGUAGCCGGCCUGAGAGGGUGACCGGCCACAUUGGGACUGAGAUACGGCCCAGACUCGUACGGGAGGCAGCAGUGGGGAAUAUUGCACAAUGGGCGGAAGCCUGAUGCAGCAACGCCGCGUGCGGGAUGACGGCCUUCGGGUUGUAAACCGCUGUCGCCUGUGACGAAGCGUGAGUGACGGUAAUGGGUAAAGAAGCACCGGCUAACUACGUG